UAAGGAAUAUUGGUCAAUGGACGCAAGUCUGAACCAGCCAUGCCGCGUGAAGGAUGAAGGUCCUCUGGAUUGUAAACUUCUUUUAUCUGGGACGAAAACGGGAUUUUUAUCUCAAUUGACGGUACCAGAGGAAUAAGCGCCGGCUAACUCCGUGCCAACAGCCGCGGUAAUACGGAGGGUGCGAGCGUUAUCCGGAUUUACUGGGUUUGAAGGGUGCGUAGGUGGGCUUAUAAGUCAGUGGUGAAAUCUCCGAGCUUAACUUGGAAACUGCCGUUGAUACUAUAGGUCUUGAAUUAUCUGGAGGUCAGCGGAAUAUGACAUGUAGCGGUGAAAUGCUUAGAUAUGACAUAGAACACCAAUUGCGAAGGCAGCUUACUACAUAUAAAUUGACGCUGAGGCACGAAAGCGUGGGGAUCAAACA
rnacentral:rRNA from 1 species